ACGUAUGGAGCAAGCGUUAUCCGGAUUUACUGGGUGUAAAGGGAGUGUAGGUGGCCAUGCAAGUCAGAAGUGAAAAUCCGGGGCUUAACCCCGGAACUGCUUUUGAAACUGUAAGGCUAGAGUGCAGGAGGGGUGAGUGGAAUUCCUAGUGUAGCGGUGAAAUGCGUAGAUAUUAGGAGGAACACCAGUGGCGAAGGCGGCUCACUGGACUGUAACUGACACUGAGGCUCGAAAGCGUGGGGAGCAAACAG
rnacentral:rRNA from 1 species